AGUUUUGCGUAGUGGCAGUGUCGUAGCCAAUGAGGUUUAUCUGAGACACGAUUAUUGCUAACUGAAAACAUUCAGAAAAAAGUUAUGUGGUUGCUAAUGUGCACUAUGUAGUUAGACCUACAAUGGUUGCAUCUAUAUUAAAGAUG